GGCAAAUAUUGUGACAAGAAUUGGCUUCAAAUCGUGAUAGAAAUCACUUUCCUUUAGGCUUUAUUUGUCCGAUAUAAAGUGCAAUAACCUUGGACAAAUAUCCUUUAGGAUAAGAUGAAGUUUUGUUUGUCUUAAACUCUUGCACAAAGCAAGACAAACCCUUUGUGAACUAAGGAGUGCUUUUGAGAGAGUAAGGAUAGUAGGAAAGUGAUUUUCUGCAGCAAACCACUCUCUACUUGACCUCUUUAUAUAGGAAGAUUGUUUGGGAAACAAAAGAUCUCAUUAAACACUUGUAUGAAUAGAUUCAAAGUAUUGUGUAUGAAUAGAUUCAAAGUAUUGUGUACACAUUCAUGCACUUUAAUUCAUGCAUCUCAUGAUCAUUAGAUCAAAACAUGAAUCUAUCCUUUCAUUCAAUAAUUCCCAUAUACAUGAAUACAUUCAUAAAUGAAUGUACAUUUUAGAAACAUUCACAAUACUAUACAUGUACCAAAAAUUAAUGAAUAUACAUUAAUUCAUGUAUGUACAUCAUACAAAUUUUGAAAAGUUUCCAACAAUCCCCCGCCAUUUUCAAAAUUUAGAAAAUGGAUUUCUAAAAGGUCACCAAGUAAUCUGACACUCAUAUGCAUAAAUAAUGGUGUCUUUCGAUUGAACCACUAUCUUAGUGAAGGUUCUUUGAAAUCAAUCCUUCAAGAUGGUAGACAAGCUUUGAACCACUUGGACAUUGGACCAACCUCAUAAACACAUCACACACUGAGCAAUGCACAACCAUAAGUUCUUCAACGAUACAUUUUACGGCCUUGUAUCACUAUCCUUUCAUGAAUGUUUACAAAGUAAAGUCCUUAACUUUGUGGUUUGCCGAAAACCAACAUUCAUAUAGGCGACAUCUUAGUGCCCCCGCCAUAGAUAGCACUUUUAAGAUUCGUUAAGAGUCCAAUGACUCAUCCUUACAUUUGCACUGGCGAGAAUAACAUGCACUAUUCAACAUUGGGAUGUCUAAACUUCACAUAGUGCACCAACCACUAGAAUGGUGUACUUUCACUCAUUGAAUUCAAGACUAGACGUUGUAUCUAGCGUUGAAUUGAGGUUCCACCAUUAGUGAUCAAGAAUUUUGGACUUUAAACCCAUCCCCUUGAUGUCUUUGACACCAAAUUUCUUGAUAAUCCUUUUGUCAAAGGAUCACUUAAAUUUUCAUUUGAUCUCACAAAGUCAAUUGAUAUGACUCCAUUUGUAAUCAAAUCUUUGACAUAACUAUGUCUCAAACCGAUAUGUCUUGAUUUACCAUUAUACACUUGACUAUAUGCUUUAGCAAGUGUAGCUGCACUAUCACAAUGGAUUGAGAUAGGCGACAAAGGUGUUGGCCACAAUGGUAUAUCACAAAGUAAAUUACGUAGCCAUUCAGCUUCUUUACAGGCCGAAGCAAGUGCUACAAACUCUGCUGCCAUUGUUGAAUCGGUGAUACAAGUCUGUUUCUUAGAACCCCAAGAAAUUGCACCUCCACCAAGCAUAAAGAUCCAACCACUUGUCGACGAGUGAUCAUCUUUAUUGGUGAUCCAACUAGCAUCUGAAAAUCCUUCUAAAACUGAAGGAUAACCGGUAUAACAUAUACCAUAGUCCUUAGUGGCCUUUAAAUACUUUAAAAUUCUGGUUACACCUUGCCAAUGUAACCUACUAGGUUGCUUGUAUAUCUGCUCAAUAUACCAACUGCAUAUGCAAUAUCAGGUCUAGUACAAGUCAUUGCAUACAUUAAACACCCUAUAACCUUGGCAUAUUCCAUUUGAGAUUUUGGAUCCCCCUCAUUUUUCACAAAAUUUAUUUUGGGAUCCAAUGGUGUUGAGCUGGAAUACAAUCACUUUGAUUGAAUUUGUUAAGAAUCUUUUCAAUAUAAUGUGUUUGAGACAACAUUAUAUUGUUAUCAUGUUUGAAGAUUCUCAUACCAAGAAUGACAUCUGCCUCACCCAUGUCUUUCAUGUCAAAUUUGCUUGAAAGCAAAGUUUUUGUGACUUCAACUUGUUCCAAGUCAGUCCCAAAAAUCAACAUAUAAACAAAUUAUGACACCUUUGCCAUCAUCAAACUUGCUAUAAAUACAUUUAUCAGAUUCAUUUAUUUUGAACCCACUAGCAAGAAUAACUUGGUCAAAUUUCUGAUGCCAUUGCUUCGGUGCUUGUUUUAGUCCAUAUAAAGACUUUACAAGUUUACACACCUUAUGCUCUUGACCAGGUAUCACAAACCCUUCGGGUUGCUCCAUAUAUACUUCUUCAUCCAAAUCACCAUUCAAGAAUGCUGUUUUAACAUCCAUUUGGUGAAUGACUAGAUUUUGGAUAGAAGCUAUAGCAAGUAGCACUCUAAUUGUAGCAAUUCUAGCUACUGGUGAAUAUGUGUCAAAAUAGUCCACACCAUACUUUUGUGUGAACCCUUUGGCAACCAACCUGGCCUUGAACUUAUCAAUAGUUCCGUCGAUCUUCAUUUUCUUCUUGAAGAUCCACUUACAACCAAUUGGUUUUGAACCAGGUGGUAAGUCUACUAAUUUCCAGGUUUUAUUACCCAUGAUUGAGUCCAUCUCAUCAUUAAUAGCUUCCUUCCAAAAGGGAGCAUCUUGUGAGUUCAUUGCUUCUUCAUAGGUCUUGGGAUCAGCCUCAAUAUUGAAGCAAUAUGAGAUUUGGUUGCUCACUGUAUCUCUAGUUCCUUCAACUAGAUACAUAUAAAAGUCCGAACCGAAGUCUUUUGACUUUCUAGCUCUUUUGCUCCUUCUCAAUUCAAUGGUUUCAUUUUCACCAUCUUUUGUCAAUUCACUUGAUUUUGGAAUAACAUCUUUUAUAGAGGUGAACCUAUUCUCUUCAAAAAUAGCAUCUCUAGACUCAAUUAUGGUAUUAACCGAAAUUGAAUCAUUAGGUUCAAUUACCAUGAACCUAUAUGCUUUGCUAUUUUGUGCAUAUCCUAAGAAUAUACACUCCACACCUCUUUCUCCCAAUUUCCUUUUUUGAGUUCUGGGAGUUUUACAACAGCUCUACAACCCCAAACUUUCAAAUAGUUUAGGUUGGGCUUCCUUUUAUUCCAAAAUUCAUAAGGGGUUAUAGAACUCCUUUUAUUAGGAACUCUAUUUAGGAUAUGACAAGCCGUUAACAAGGCUUCACCCCAAAAUCCUUGACUUAAACCAGAUUUUGACAAAAGUGCAUUAACCAUUUCUGUCAAUACACGAUUUUUCCUUUCGGCUACACCAUUUUGUUGUGGUGUGUAAGGAGCAGUCACCUCAUGUUUUAUCCCAACAGACUCAAAAUAGGUAAUAUCAUAAUAUUCCCCACCUCUAUCUGUCCUUAGACAUUUGAUAAAGGAUUCACAAUGAAGUUCAACUUCUGAUUUGUAUGCCUUAAAUUUUUGCAAAGCUUCACCUUUUGAGUGUAAAAGAAAACAUGACAGUAUCUACUAUAAUCAUCAAUAAAAGUCACAAAGUACUUUUUACCACCCAAAGUAGGAGUACCAUGCAAAUCACAUACAUCACUAUGAAUAAGAUCCAAGAUUUUAGAUGAUCUUUCAACUUUAGGAAACGAAUUUCUUGUGAUUUUCGUUAGCAUGCAUGUAUUGCAUUUUCCUUCAAUCUUAUCACAAUAUGGCAGCAAAUCAAGUCUCAUCAUUUCAUGCAUUCUUUUGUAAUUAACAUGACCAAUCCUAUUAUGCCACAAUUCAAAAGAAGACUCAACCAAAUACGCAGAAAUAAUAUCACUCUUAUUAUUUCUAAUAGCAAGUACAUUCAACUUAAACAUCCCAUUGCAAAGAUAACCCUUGCCUACAAACAUACCACCUUUAGACAAAAUAAAUUUGUCAGACUCAAACACAAGUCUAAAGCCAAAUUUAUUUAACAGCCCAGCCGACACCAAGUUCUUCCUAACUUCCGGUACAUAAAACACAUUUGUCAAGGUUACAACAUUUCCGGAAGUAAAUUUUAAUUCUACUUCUCCAAUGCCUUGAACCGGAAUUGUAGCAGAAUUUCCCAUGUAAACAACGGUGCUUUCAUCCACCGGUUUCAUGGACUUGAAGAACGUUCUAUUGUUGCACACGUGUCGCGUAGCUCCAGAAUCAACCCACCAAGCAAAAUCAUCUUCAAUCAUAUUGAUUUCAGAUAUCAUUGCUACAAGAUUUUUGCUUGUGUUUUGGGAAGACUCUUGCUUCUUCUUCUUGUUUUGAAGAAUCUUGCACUCGGACUUGUAGUGUCCCUCUUUCUUGCAAUAGAAGCAUUGUCCCUUCUUUCUUUUCUUGGAUUGAUUCUUGGGUUGUUGGCCCUUCUUGCUUUCUUGAGACUUUUCAGUUUGCCUCUCUUCAAUCACAUGCACUUUUGAAGUAGAAUCUUUGUUCUCUUCAAGGAUUUGACUAUCCUUCUUUUCUUGCAUGCGAAUUUCCUCUUCUACUCGAAGAGAUUUAGCAAGAAUCUCAAGAGAGAUAUCCUCUUUCUUAUGUUUGAGGUCUCUUUUGAAAUCUUUCCAAGAAGGUGGUAACUUAUCUAUUAUAGAGCAAACAAUAAUGGCUUCAUCCAUGUGUAGAUUGUGUUGUGUGAAGUGAUUAAGAAGCCUUUCAAUCUCACUAAAUUGCUCCAUAACAGACUUAUUAUCUACCAUUUUAUAAUUAUUAAAAGACGAGACAAGAAACUUCUUACUUGUAGCAUCUUCUUGCAUGUACUUGGACUCCAAUCGAUCCCAAAGUUCCUUGGCGGUAGCAAUUGAAUGGUAGACAUCGAACAGGUUGUCACUCAUGGUAUUGAGGAUGUGACCACGGCAUAUUUCAUCGUCGUUCUCCCAUUUCUGACGGUUUCGGAUGUCUUCAAGAGUUUCUUCAUCGGGAUUGAUCAAUGGUUUCGAUGUGGUCAAAACAUAGACCACUUUGAGUGCAGUGAGAAGGAAACGAACACGUUUUUGCCAACGAAUGAAAUUCCCUCCAUCAAACCUCUCGAGCUUGACAAUAUUGGAUGCCAAAUCUUUCAAGGUACCAGCCAUUGUAGAGUAUAAAUAAAGCCUAAAGAUUGUUGGGUAAAAAGCAAAGAAUUGGCAAAUAUUGUGACAAGAAUUGGCUUCAAAUCGUGAUAGAAAUCACUUUCCUUUAGGCUUUAUUUGUCCGAUAUAAAGUGCAAUAACCUUUGACAAAUAUCCUUUAGGAUAAGAUGAAGUUUUGUUUGUGUUAAACUCUUGCACAAAGCAAGACAAAUCCUUUGUGAACUAAGGAGUGCUUUUGAGAGAGUAAGGAUAGUAGGAAAGUGAUUUUCUGCAGCAAACCACUCUCUACUUGACCUCUUUAUAUAGGAAGAUUGUUUGGGAAACAAAGGAUCUCAUUUAACACUUGUAUGAACAGAUUCAAAGUAUUGUGUAUGAAUAGAUUCAAAGUAUUGUGUACACAUUCAUGCACUUUAAUUCAUGCAUCUCAUGAUCAUUAGAUCAAAACAUGAAUCUAUCCUUUAAUUCAAUAAUUCCCAUAUACAUGAAUACAUUCAUAAAUGAAUGUACAU
rnacentral:lncRNA from 1 species